AUUGAACGCUGGCGGCAGGCCUAACACAUGCAAGUCGAGCGAGCGGCGGACGGGUGAGGAAUGUCUGGGAACCUGCUUGAUGGAGGGGGAUAACUACUGGAAACGGUAUCUAAUACCGCAUACCAUCAGAUGUGCCCAGAUGGGAUUAGCUAGUAGGUGGGGUAACGGCUCACCUAGGCGACGAUCCCUAGCUGGUCUGAGAGGAUGACCAGCCACACUGGAACUGAGACACGGUCCAGACUCCUACGUGAGGCAGCAGUGGGGAAUAUUGCACAAUGGGCGCAAGCCUGAGGCAGCCAUGCCGCGUGUGUGAAGAAGGCCUUCGGGUUGUAAAGCACUUUCAGCGGGGAGGCGUUACCCGCAGAAGAAGCACCGGCUAACUCCGUGCCAGCAGCCGCGGUAAUAC
rnacentral:rRNA from 1 species